CCCCUAGAUGUUCUGGGCCGCACGCGCGCUACACUGAACAGUUCAACAAGUCUUAACCUUGGCCGAUAGGUCUGGGUAAUCUUUGAACGCUGUUCGUGAUUGGGAUAGACCUUUGCAAUUAUGGGUCUUCAACGAGGAAUUCCUAGUAAACGCAAGUCAUCAGCUUGCAUUGAUUACGCCCCUGCCCUUUGUACACACCGCCCGUCGCACCUACCGAUUGAAUGGUCCGGUGAAAUCUCGGGACGGCGGCUUGGUCGCUUGCGUCCGACUGCUGAAACUUGAUUAAACCAUAUCAUUUAGAGGAAGGUGAAGUCGUANCA
rnacentral:rRNA from 1 species